rnacentral:rRNA from 1 species
AGUGAACGCUGGCGGUAGGCCUAACACAUGCAAGUCGAACGGCAGCACAGUAAGAGCUUGCUCUUACGGGUGGCGAGUGGCGGACGGGUGAGGAAUACAUCGGAAUCUACUUUUUCGUGGGGUAUAACGUAGGGAAACUUACGCUAAUACCGCAUACGACCUACGGGUGAAAGCAGGGGAUCUUCUGACCUUGCUCGAUUGAAUGAGCCGAUGUCGGAUUAGCUAGUUGGCGGGGUAAAGGCCCACCAAGGCGACGAUCCGUAGCUGGUCUGAGAGGAUGAUCAGCCACACUGGAACUGAGACACGGUCCAGACUCCUACGGGAGGCAGCAGUGGGGAAUAUUGGACAAUGGGCGCAAGCCUGAUCCAGACAUACCGCGUGGGUGAAGAAGGCCUUCGGGUUGUAAAGACCUUUUGUUGGGAAAGAAAAGCAGCAGGUUAAUACCCCGCUGUUCUGACGGUACCCAAAGAAUAAGCACCGGCUAACUUCGUG